UACGAAGGGGGCUAGCGUUGCUCGGAAUCACUGGGCGUAAAGCGCACGUAGGCGGCUUUUUAAGUCAGGGGUGAAAUCCUGGAGCUCAACUCCAGAACUGCCUUUGAUACUGAGAAGCUUGAGUCCGGGAGAGGUGAGUGGAACUGCGAGUGUAGAGGUGAAAUUCGUAGAUAUUCGCAAGAACACCCGUGGCUAAGGCGGCUCUCUAGUACGGUACUGACGCUGAGACGCGAAAGCGUGGGGAGCGAACAGG
rnacentral:rRNA from 1 species